rnacentral:rRNA from 1 species
CCCAUUGGGGUGCUUACCAUGCAGUCGUACCAUGGAUCACCUUCGGUGGGGAUUAGUGGCGAACGGGUGAGUAACACGUGGGCAAUCUGCCCUGCACUCUGGGACAAGCCCUGGAAACGGGGUCUAAUACCGGAUACUGACCCGCUUGGGCAUCUUGGAGGAUCGAAAGCUCCGGCGGUGCAGGAUGAGCCCGCGGCCCUUAAUACAGCUAUGUGUGGUGAGGUAAUGGCUCACCAAGGCGACGACGGGUAGCCGGCCUGAGAGGGCGACCGGCCACACUGGGACUGGAAACACGGCCCAGACUCCUACGGGAGGCAGCAGUGGGCAAUAUGGCACAAUGGGCGAAAGCCUGAUGCAGCGACGCCGCGUGAGGGAUGACGGCCUUCGGGUUGUAAACCUCUUUCAGCAGGGAAGAAGCGAAAGUGACGGUACCUGCAGAAGAAGCGCCGGCUAACUACGUGCCAGCAGCCGCGGUAAUACGUAGGGCGCGAGCGUUGUCCGGAAUUAUUGGGCGUAAAGAGCUCGUAGGCGGCUUGUCACGUCGGUUGUGAAAGCCCGGGGCUUAACCCCGGGUCUGCAGUCGAUACGGGCAGGCUAGAGUUCGGUAGGGGAGAUCGGAAUUCCUGGUGUAGCGGUGAAAUGCGCAGAUAUCAGGAGGAACACCGGUGGCGAAGGCGGAUCUCUGGGCCGAUACUGACGCUGAGGAGCGAAAGCGUGGGGAGCGAACAGGAUUAGAUACCCUGGUAGUCCACGCCGUAAACGGUGGGCACUAGGUGUGGGCGACAUUCCACGUCGUCCGUGCCGCAGCUAACGCAUUAAGUGCCCCGCCUGGGGAGUACCGGCCGCAAGGCUAAAACUCAAAGGAAUUUGACCGGGGGCCCGCACAAGCGGGCGGGAGCAUGUGGUCUUUAAUUCGACGCAACGCGAAGAAUCCUUUACCAAGGCUUGACAUACACCGGAAAGCAUCAGAGAUGGUGCCCCCCCUUGGUGGUCGGUGUACAGGUGGUGCAUGGCUGUCGUCAGCUCGUGUCGUGAGAUGUUGGGGUUAAGUCCCGCAACGAGCGCAACCCUUGUCCCGUGUUGCCAGCAGGCCCUUGUGGUGCUGGGGACUCACGGGAGACCGCCGGGGUCAACUCGGAGGAAGGUGGGGACGACGUUCAAGUCAUCAUGCCCCUUAUGUCUUGGGCUGCACAACGUGCUCACAAUGGCCGCGGAUCAAUGAGCUGCGAUACCGCGAGGUGGAGCGAAUCUCAAAAAGCCGGUCUCAGUUCGGAUUGGGGUCUGCAACUCGACCCCAUGAAGUCGGAGUCGCUAGUAAUCGCAGAUCAGCAUUGCUGCGGUGAAUACGUUCCCGGGCCUUGUACACACCGCCCGUCACGUCACGAAAGUCGGUAACACCCGAAGCCGGUGGCACGCUGACUCGCCCUGUGGCUACGAGGGCGAACGACUGCGACGAUGCCCC